rnacentral:rRNA from 1 species
CAGUAGCCGCGGUAAUACAGAGGGUGCAAGCGUUAAUCGGAAUUACUGGGCGUAAAGCGCGCGUAGGUGGUUUGUUAAGUUGGAUGUGAAAUCCCCGGGCUCAACCUGGGAACUGCAUUCAAAACUGACUGACUAGAGUAUGGUAGAGGGUGGUGGAAUUUCCUGUGUAGCGGUGAAAUGCGUAGAUAUAGGAAGGAACACCAGUGGCGAAGGCGACCACCUGGACUAAUACUGACACUGAGGUGCGAAAGCGUGGGGAGCAAACAGGAUUAGAUACCCCUGUAGUCCCUGUCUCUUAUAC